rnacentral:rRNA from 1 species
UGAGGAAUAUUGGUCAAUGGGCGCAAGCCUGAACCAGCCAUGCCGCGUGCAGGAAGACGGUCCUAUGGAUUGUAAACUGCUUUUAUUGGGGAAUAAACCUCUUUACGUGUAGAGAGCUGAAGGUACCCAAUGAAUAAGCACCGGCUAACUCCGUGCCAGCAGCCGCGGUAAUACGGAGGGUGCAAGCGUUAUCCGGAAUCAUUGGGUUUAAAGGGUCCGCAGGCGGAUUUAUAAGUCAGUGGUGAAAUCCCGUCGCUUAACGACGGAACUGCCAUUGAUACUGUAAGUCUUGAAUUCGAUCGAAGUGGGCGGAAUAUGACAUGUAGCGGUGAAAUGCUUAGAUAUGUCAUAGAACACCGAUAGCGAAGGCAGCUCACUAGGUCUGGAUUGACGCUCAGGGACGAAAGCGUGGGGAGCAAACAGG